rnacentral:rRNA from 1 species
AGAGUUUGAUCAUGGCUCAGGACGAACGCUGGCGGCGUGCNUAAUACAUGCAAGUUGAACGAUGAUUUCUGGUACUUGUAUCAGAAUGAAGAGUAGCGAACGGGUGAGUAACGCGUGGGUAACCUACCUCUUAGCGGGGGACAACUAUUGGAAACGAUAGCUAAUACCGCAUAACAAUAUUAAACACAUGUUUAAUAUUUGAAAGUACCAAUUGGUACACUAGGAGAUGGACCCGCGUUGUAUUAGCUAGUUGGUAGUGUAAUGGACUACCAAGGCGAUGAUACAUAGCCGACCUGAGAGGGUGAUCGGCCACAUUGGGACUGAGACACGGCCCAAACUCCUACGGGAGGCAGCAGUAGGGAAUCUUCGGCAAUGGACGAAAGUCUGACCGAGCAACGCCGCGUGAGUGAAGAAGGUUUUCGGAUCGUAAACUCUGUUGUUAGAGAAGAACGUUGUGUAGAGUGGAAAAUUACACAAGUGACGGUAUCUAACCAGAAAGGGACGGCUAACUACGUGCCAGCAGCCGCGGUAAUACGUAGGUCCCGAGCGUUGUCCGGAUUUAUUGGGCGUAAAGCGAGCGCAGGUGGUUUAAUAAGUCUGAUGUAAAAGGCAGUGGCUCAACCAUUGUGUGCAUUGGAAACUGUUAGACUUGAGUGCAGUAGAGGAGAGUGGAAUUCCAUGUGUAGCGGUGAAAUGCGUAGAUAUAUGGAGGAACACCGGUGGCGAAAGCGGCUCUCUGGACUGUAACUGACACUGAGGCUCGAAAGCGUGGGUAGCAAACAGGAUUAGAUACCCUGGUAGUCCACGCCGUAAACGAUGAGUGCUAGUUGUUUGGGGCU